GCCCGUGACCAAACCACCCCGAAUGAAACCAAUCUCAUCACAACUUAGAAGCUAAGCAAGAGUUGAGCCCGGACAGUGCUUGGAUGGGCAACCACCACGCAUAACACAGGUGCUGCAGGGU
rnacentral:rRNA from 1 species